UAUAUCUGACAGAGCGUCCACCAGGGUGCAGUGUUGACUCGAACAUGCAGCAGUACCUGCGAGAGAAGCAUGUCUACCAAACAUCUGCACAGCUGCCUGUGAGGACACGACCCAGCAAUCCCACGAGCUUGUUAUAGAGUCUUACACCAUGGAGAAACGCACAGAACGCUCAGUGCUUGCAUGUAAUAGAAGGUGGGAAGAAACAGUCAGCCAAGGAGAAAAAGAGCCAUGAUUUCCAAAACUAUGAGAGAGGAGAGAGGUAAAUGGACCUGCCAUGGAUGGUUAUGUAAGUGCCAGUGGAAACAAUUUACCUCGGGCGUCGCAGAAACAAUCUGUCAUUAACUGAGUGUUUCCCCUGCAGGUUCAUUGAUGCAUCACCUUUCUCUUCUUUACUCUCAAAAUCACUUCAAUUUUCUCCGAAUAGUCAAGUUUUUAUUUGCAAGCAUCUGUGCCUUCAGAAUAAAC
rnacentral:lncRNA from 1 species